AACGAACGCUGGCGGCAGGCCUAACACAUGCAAGUCGAGCGAGGACUUCGGUCCUAGCGGCGGACGGGUGAGUAACGCGUGGGAACGUGCCCUUUGCUACGGAAUAGCCCCGGGAAACUGGGAGUAAUACCGUAUGUGCCCUUUGGGGGUAAGAUUUAUCGGAAAAGGAUCGGCCCGCGGUGGAUUAGGUAGUUGGUGGGGUAAUGGCCUACCAAGCCGACGAUCCAUAGCUGGUUUGAGAGGAUGAUCAGCCACACUGGGACUGAGACACGGCCCAGACGCCUACGGGAGGAAGCAGUGGGGAAUCUUAGACAAUGGGCGCAAGCCUGAUCUAGCCAUGCCGCGUGAGCGAUGAAGGCCUUAGGGUUGUAAAGCUCUUUCAGUGGGGAAGAUAAUGACGGUACCCACAGAGGAAGCCCCGGCUAACUCCGUGCCAGCAGCCGCCGCAGUAA
rnacentral:rRNA from 1 species